GACGAACGCUGGCGGCGUGCUUAACACAUGCAAGUCGAACGGAAAGGCCCUGCUUUUGUGGGGUGCUCGAGUGGCGAACGGGUGAGUAACACGUGAGUAACCUGCCCUUGACUUUGGGAUAACGUCAGGAAACUGGGGCUAAUACCGGAUAGGAGCUCCUGCUGCAUGGUGGGGGUUGGAAAGUUUCGGCGGUGGGGGAUGGACUCGCGGCUUAUCAGCUUGUUGGUGGGGUAGUGGCUUACCAAGGCUUUGACGGGUAGCCGGCCUGAGAGGGUGACCGGCCACAUUGGGACUGAGAUACGGCCCAGACUCCUACGGGAGGCAGCAGUGGGGAAUAUUGCACAAUGGGCGGAAGCCUGAUGCAGCAACGCCGCGUGCGGGAUGACGGCCUUCGGGUUGUAAACCGCUUUCGCCUGUGACGAAGCGUGAGUGACGGUAAUGGGUAAAGAAGCACCGGCUAACUACGUG
rnacentral:rRNA from 1 species